UACGUAGGGGGCAAGCGUUGUCCGGAUUCAUUGGGCGUAAAGAGCUCGUAGGCGGUUCAGCAAGUCGGGUGUGAAACCUCCAGGCUCAACCUGGAGACGCCACCCGAUACUGCUGUGACUUGAGUCCGGUAGGGGACCACGGAAUUCCUGGUGUAGCGGUGAAAUGCGCAGAUAUCAGGAGGAACACCGGUGGCGAAGGCGGUUCUCUGGGCCUUACCUGACACUGAGGAGCGAAAGCGUGGGGAGCGAACAGG
rnacentral:rRNA from 1 species